AUUGAACGCUGGCGGCAGGCUUAACACAUGCAAGUCGAGCGGGGUGAGGUGCUUCGGUACUGAUCCUAGCGGCGGACGGGUGAGUAAUGCUUAGGAAUCUGCCAUUUAGUGGGGGACAACAUUCCGAAAGGAAUGCUAAUACCGCAUACGUCCUACGGGAGAAAGCAGGGGAUCUUCGGACCUUGCGCUAAAUGAUGAGCCUAAGUCGGAUUAGCUAGUUGGUGGGGUAAAGGCCUACCAAGGCGACGAUCGGUAGGGGGUCUGAGUGGAAGAUCAGCCACACGGGGACUGGGACACGGCCCAGACGACUACGGGAGGAGGCAGUGGGGAAUAUUGGACAAUGGGCGGAAGCCUGAUCCAGCCAUGCCGGGUGUGUGAAGAAGGCCUUUUGGUUGUAAAGCACUUUAAGCGAGGAGGAGGCUACCUGGAUUAAUACUCUGGGAUAGUGGACGUUACUCGCAGAAUAAGCACCGGCCAACUCUGUGCCAGCAGCCGCCGUAAUAC
rnacentral:rRNA from 1 species